AACGUAGGACGCAAGCGUUAUCCGGAGUUACUGGGCGUAAAGCGCGUGUAGGCGGCUUGGAAAGUCGGGUGUGAAAGCCCUGGGCUCAACCUAGGAAGUGCACUCGAAACUGCCGAGCUUGAGUUCUGGAGAGGAAGGCGGAAUUCUCGGUGUAGAGGUGAAAUUCGUAGAUAUCGAGAGGAACACCGGUGGCGAAGGCGGCCUUCUGGACAGCAACUGACGCUGAGACGCGAAAGCGUGGGGAGCAAACAGG
rnacentral:rRNA from 1 species